rnacentral:rRNA from 1 species
AGUGAACGCUGGCGGUAGGCCUAACACAUGCAAGUCGAACGGCCGCACAGUAAGAGCUUGCUCUUACGGGUGGCGAGUGGCGGACGGGUGAGGAAUACAUCGGAAUCUACUUUUUCGUGGGGGAUAACGUAGGGAAACUUCCGCUAAUACCGCAUACGACCUACGGGUGAAGGCAGGGGAUCUUCGGACCUUGCGCGAUUGAAUGAGCCGAUGUCGGAUUAGCUAGUUGGCGGGGUAAAGGCCCACCAAGGCGACGAUCCGUAGCUGGUCUGAGAGGAUGAUCAGCCACACUGGAACUGAGACACGGUCCAGACUCCUACGGGAGGCAGCAGUGGGGAAUAUUGGACAAUGGGCGCAAGCCUGAUCCAGCCAUACCGCGUGGGUGAAGAAGGCCUUCGGGUUGUAAAGCCCUUUUGUUGGGAAAGAAAAGCAGCAGGUUAAUACCCCGCUGUUCUGACGGUACCCAAAGAAUAAGCACCGGCUAACUUCGUG